UAGGGAAUCUUCCGCAAUGGACGAAAGUCUGACGGAGCAACGCCGCGUGAGUGAUGAAGGCUUUCGGGUCGUAAAACUCUGUUGUUAGGGAAGAACAAGUACGAGAGUAACUGCUCGUACCUUGACGGUACCUAACCAGAAAGCCACGGCUAACUACGUGCCAGCAGCCGCGGUAAUACGUAGGUGGCAAGCGUUAUCCGGAAUUAUUGGGCGUAAAGCGCGCGCAGGCGGUUUCUUAAGUCUGAUGUGAAAGCCCACGGCUCAACCGUGGAGGGUCAUUGGAAACUGGGGAACUUGAGUGCAGAAGAGAAAAGCGGAAUUCCACGUGUAGCGGUGAAAAGCGUAGAGAUGUGGAGGAACACCAGUGGCGAAGGCGGCUUUUUGGUCUGUAACUGACGCUGAGGCGCGAAAGCGUGGGGAGCAAACAGG
rnacentral:rRNA from 1 species